AGUGAACGCUGGCGGUAGGCCUAACACAUGCAAGUCGAACGGCAGCACAGUAAGAGCUUGCUCUUACGGGUGGCGAGUGGCGGACGAGUGAGGAAUACAUCGGAAUCUACUUUUUCGUGGGGGAUAACGUAGGGAAACUUACGCUAAUACCGCAUACGACCUACGGGUGAAAGCAGGGGAUCUUCGGACCUUGCGCGUUUGAAUGAGCCGAUGUCGGAUUAGCUAGUUGGCGGGGUAAAGGCCCACCAAGGCGACGAUCCGUAGCUGGUCUGAGAGGAUGAUCAGCCACACUGGAACUGAGACACGGUCCAGACUCCUACGGGAGGCAGCAGUGGGGAAUAUUGGACAAUGGGCGCAAGCCUGAUCCAGCCAUACCGCGUGGGUGAAGAAGGCCUUCGGGUUGGAAAGCCCUUUUGUUGGGAAAGAAAAGCAGCAGGUUAAUACCCCGCUGUUCUGACGGUACCCAAAGAAUAAGCACCGGCUAACUUCGUG
rnacentral:rRNA from 1 species